rnacentral:rRNA from 1 species
UACGUAGGGUGCGAGCGUUAAUCGGAAUUACUGGGCGUAAAGCGUGCGCAGGCGGUUCGCCAAGUCAGGUGUGAAGUCCCCGGGCUUAACCUGGGAAUUGCGCUUGAAACUAGCGGGCUUGAGUGUGGCAGAGGGGGGUGGAAUUCCACGUGUAGCAGUGAAAUGCGUAGAGAUGUGGAGGAACACCGAUGGCGAAGGCAGCCCCCUGGGUCAACACUGACGCUCAUGCACGAAAGCGUGGGGAGCAAACAGG